rnacentral:rRNA from 1 species
UGAACGCUAGCGGCAGGCCUAACACAUGCAAGUCGAGGGGUAACAGAAAAGCUUGCUUUUGCUGACGACCGGCGCACGGGUGCGUAACGCGUAUGCAACCUACCUCAUACUGGAGGAUAGCCCCUGGAAACGGGGAUUAAUACUCCAUAGUAUCACAAUUUCGCAUGUUAUUGUGAUUAAAGUUUUUCGGUAUGAGAUGGGCAUGCGUCCCAUUAGCUUGUUGGUGAGGUAACGGCUCACCAAGGCAACGAUGGGUAGGGGGCCUGAGAGGGUGGUCCCCCACACUGGUACUGAGACACGGACCAGACUCCUACGGGAGGCAGCAGUGAGGAAUAUUGGUCAAUGGAGGAAACUCUGAACCAGCCAUGCCGCGUGAAGGAUGACGGCCCUAUGGGUUGUAAACUUCUUUUAUAGAGGAAGAAACUUGUCUACGUGUAGACAACUGACGGUACUCUACGAAUAAGGAUCGG